rnacentral:lncRNA from 1 species
UGCACUCCAGCCUGGGCUGCAGAACAAGACUCCUUUCAAAAAAAAAAAAAAGGAAAACUUUUUUUCACAAAUGCAUCAAACUGUUUGGAAUGACAAGAUUGAGUGAUUUCUGAAGGCUUCAUUUUAUAAUGCCCGAAAGAACAACACUUUGUUCCCCAAUUACAGGCUUCUGUUCUGUCUUUGUCCUGCAGCUGCACAGUGGGGCAAGACUUGGGUUUGGUUUUGUUGCUGCUUUGUUGCUUCUUCAUUUGACUGUUUCCCCAUGAGUCUUAUAAUGAAUUAUGUUCUCCUCUGACAUUGUUCCUCACCUAAGAAAAUCCACAGCUGUCUCUUCCUUGAGGCCUGAAGUCAACAACAUUACAACCUCAUUUCCCUUUUAUCCACCUCCUUUUCCCAUCUGGGUGGACACCCCAGCCAACUAGUGAUUCAGUGUUAUCAGUUCAGACAGACCAGUUUAGGAGCUACACUCCUAUAUCAUUUGCUUUGUAAUUUGUGAAGAGGCACAUAGCAUAAAGAGAGCUCUUCUAGCUGCAAUGCACAUGCAAGAAUUUUUGCUUUUGAUUAUAGCCUAAUCUUUAUAUCAUCCUGCUGGAGACAAAAUAGCAGCUGCAGUGUUGAAUGAAACUCUGCCAUUUUAGUGGUUUUAGGUCAUUUGGGGAAUGGGAGUAAAGACCUGUAUUCUGUGGCAAGAAUUAAUUUUACCAUCAGAAAUACUAGCUAGUGUGUGAGCAUGGGAGAGGGAUGGGGACAGGGUCGAAUAAUUCUGUGCCUAAUAGCUAAUUCAAGUAACUGGGGUUUUUAGGUAAAAAGUCAUAAUAGUAAUAUAUAUAUGUAUAUAUAUGUGAAUAUAUGUGUAUAUAUGUAUGUAUAUAUGUUGCAUUUUAAUACAAAGACAUUAAGAAUUUUAUUUCAUUUCCUGAAAUGUUCACAUGUCCAGUUUUAUUCUGAGAAUAACUCAACAGAUGUCUAAAUUGUUGAUACUCUCCUAGGUUCCUCAUAGAAUAUUAAAUUAAAAUUCAAUAGAUUAGUAUUCAUGCCUGAAGUCCUAGGAAAUAUAAUUUUGUUUAUUGGCAGCCCUAGUCAAACAUGCUAGAAGACAGAAUAUUUAUAAUUCACUGGUUUUAUUGACAUUCACUCAAAUUCUGUUGUUUUUAAAGAUCAAGUUAAAGACUACACAGACCUUCAAAACUUAGCAUAGCACAACUGGGAUAUCUCUCAAAUAAAAUAGGCAUCAACAAGGGAUAAGCAACUAACCACUUAAUGUAAGACUUUAUGCUUGCUUUUCCAGUUAUAUUUCUGAAUUUUGCAAACUAAUUUGUGUCCUUUUUUUGAAUAAAUUUCAUUUCUAUAGAGAUGUCUAAAAAUUAUUUAGCAGACUACAUUAAAAGAGAGUGGAGCUAACUUCUUAACAUAGGUUAAUAUACUCAGUGCAACAAGCUGUGGACCAAGAAAUCUUCAUUUUCUAGCAAAAUCAUUUGACUUUGUGAUUAUUUUAAACUGUUUAUACUUAUUGCCAGGUUUAGUGACCAGAAACCAAAUGUUAAAAUCAUUCUUGGAUUCAAUUUACAUUUUAAAUAAUACCUACAAUACAAGUUCCCUUUUAAGAACUAAGGUCUCUAACCUGUUUCUGGUUGAGGUCAUAGUAUAAAUUUCUCCUCUUCAGGCCUUCUAGUGUCUUUCUAGACUUUCCUUUCUCCCUGUGUCUCCCACAGGCUUCCUUUCUCACCUGCCUCUACUUGUCAGUCUUCAAAUCAGAGAAAAUCAGGAUCAAUAUCUGCUUUGGGAAAGACAGGAGAUAGAUCAGUCGAGGAGAUCAACUGCAUGGUUACCCAAGUGAGCAAUUAAUAGGGUAAAAUUCCCAACUGCUUUAAGAAAUCACUGCUUUUUGAGAGUCAAACACAUCAGGUGCAUAUUUUUCAGUACUGUCCACUUUGGUGCAAACUUCAGGAUAUGGUGGUAGAUAUUUGUUGACUUCUGUCAAUAGAAAUUUAGCCACAGUCAAUAUGGGGAAAAUUGACUAAAUUACAUGUUUCAUUCAUUCAUUCAACAGCAAAUACAUUAAAGCCCGCUAUGUAUCAGACAUGCUUUGAGGCUUGAAACACAAGAUUCACAACAGAGGAUAAAACUAGAGAAAGAUAUUCUAGGUAAGAUCAACAGGAAGAACAAAGGUCUCCCAGCAAAAAUGCAUAAGCAUAAUGUUGUUUGACUGAUACAUGAAAUCUCCAUAUGAUUUUGAGGUGGUGAAAGUUCUAUUCCUGAUGGCCCCAAAUUCCUGCCCUAUCACCUGUUCUUCCUCUACGCCACACUUGCGCCUUGGUAACAGAACAUUCAAUGGGACUACAGUGAAAUUUGGGAGUCAUUGACAUAGCCAGCAAUGGAUACAAUGACUGUUGGAACUAUAUACAUCUCCUUACUGUUGGGAAAAGUGAGAAUUCCUCACCAGCAAGAAGGAUAGUUGUAUCUUAUAAGGGUGGAAAUACAGAGUUAUUUACUUGUUGUAUGAAAGUUGAAAUGUGUGUAAAAGGGUGUAUGGAAUCUGAGUUGUCAAAAGAAUAAACAAUGACAUUAAUUUAUUGCUUAUCUCAUAAUCGAUUAUGCAUUAUCUCCUGUGUAAUAAUGGAGCCAGUCCUCCAGAUAUUUCUCCUUCACAGUGAGCAUUAUGAUAUAAGCUUUAUCAGUAGAGGGUGUGGAGGGAUAUUGCUUCUGGGGUGCUGCUGUGUUGUAGUCUUCCUGCUCCUACCACAGCGCUUCCAGAAGUAGACAUGGAAAAAAUCCAGUGGUGCUCCACUGCAGCUGCUUGUCCAGAGCUUGUAGGUCCUUGCAAGCCCACAUUCCUUACCCUAGCCUAGUGGCCACCUCACUGUGGCCCUCUCCACAGUCACCACAUGCUCUAUGUUUUACAGCACCCUGCUAGGAAGUGAUCUCUCAGUACCCUAAUUCAGUAUUCUAAUGCACACUGCUUAGAGUAUCUUCUGGGACCUUCUGAGAAAUUGAUCUGACUGGAGAGUUUUCCAGCUUUACUAAUAAAUCCACUCUAGAAUGUUCUUUUUUCUGAGCCUUUUGUUCACUUAUUCUAUAGUCAUAUGGCCAUAUCGAUUCUGGCAUUUUCACUUCACUUAGUGUGUGCCAUCACUCUUUCUAAGCUUUCAAGAGCCACUCUAACCACUGUUAGCACCACCUCUAAGGGCCUUUCUAGGGUGUUAAGUCCUUUAAUACUAUAGGAGAGUACACUCAUAUCAAUAAACUCUCUCUUAUCCAACCCUAUAUUCCAUCUCGCUUGACCUACAACCCUCAAGAUCUAGUUCUCUACAAUAUUUCCAGUUCCUGCCAGGAAGUACUGGUCAAAUUCUACAGCCCCUUCAACGUAUAGUCUUAUCUUCCCCUAGCAGGCCCAACACAUGGCCCAAUGGACUUUGCUGGGAUUUGACCCUUCCUUUUUAUUGGUCUGGUUUCCAGGAAAGCAUAACUGAAGCUUAUCUUGUAUAGCAUCUACCUAAUUGGAGGCCUCUGCAUUAUCUUUAAAUAAAGAAGGGGCCACUAUCUUCUAACAAGUGUGAGUGGGUCAUUUCUAUAUGUCCAGUGCACUCAGGAGAAUCUGAGAGUUCAAGGUUCUCAAAUGCAUCUACCUAUACCUAUCCCUAUCCCAUUUUGCAGUGUCUCACUCUUUCCCUAGUAGAACUUGGGCCUAGAAAGCCGGCUGUGUUAGAGAAUUUAAUCUUCUCUUAAGUUCCACUACUAAGUGGAUCUAAAGCCUGAGCCUGAUCUUGAGUCUGAUCUUCCAGCCACAGGAGAUACCUUAAGUACCGCCAAAGAGUUAUCUCAUGCCUGCACAUUUCGUCAUGAAUUGAUGACUUACCACCCAGAGCCUGUUAUUAUAUCUCUUCAAUGAGUCAUUGGUACUCAGCAUCAACCACCCAAUCCCAUGGUUCUUAUGGGUGUCAUUUCCUUCACAUGUCUCUAGCACUAUAAAAAUUGCAUCAGCCAGUUCAUUUUCUUCCACCAAAAUUUUGUUCAAGUUCGCCACCAGUGAGAGUUUUAACUACACUGCCACAGCAUCCCUGGGGCCAUUUGUUCUCCAUCCCAUCCCCACUAGUGAUGAGAUCCUCAUUGCCAGCCAGCCAAUGAAUGAUCUGUCUCCAGAAGCCCAUUUAGAGGCUGCUUACUAGAACCACUUCUGAUAGUUACAUUGGUUCUCUGGCGAGAGAUACCAAAUGAAUAGUGUUGGGGUGAAGGAGUGGGCUCUCAGAGAUAUAAUUUAAAGGAAGAGAGGAGGGCAGGAUUGGGUAAAAGAGAAACUGAUUUAUAACUGAGGCCUCAGCUAAUCCUAUGGAGAAUUUUGGAGCUGAAAUGUCCUUCGCUGUGUCUCAAAUUGAGUCCCAAGGAGGCUGGGCCUUUUUCUCCCUACCUCAGCAUACUGGCUGUGAGCCACCUUUGCCAGGGGGUGUAACUUUGGGCAAGGCCAAUCCCAGAGACUGAGGGUGAAUCCAAUGAGGAAUGCAGCUGUGAGCCAUCAAUAGCUGAUAGUCCCAGAAGUCAGGGACUGGGUGAAUGAGAUCUAAAGAGGAGAUCUUGGGGGAGCACCACAGUAUUUACUACGCCACCAGCUGGUGAGCCAGAUCCUACUAACAUGCGCCUAGCCUGGAUCAGAAUUCAUUCCAGAACAGGCCAGUAGGUUUAACGUCUUCAGUGCCUGCAAAGGAGAUUAGCUGGGUAUAGAAGGGACUGACCACUUGCCUCUAUUCCAAAAUAAAAACUUAUUGAAAAGGAGUCAUUUUAGUUCAUUUAAUUAAAUUACCAUUUUUAUGGGCAUGGCUUUUAUAUUCUUCCCUUUGUUCCUGCAGUUUGGAAUGAAAGAGGAAUGAAAAGAAGGAGGGAAGUUCGUUGGUUUAUUGAGCACUCGGGUGUCAGGCCUUAACCCUUGGCAACUCUGCCCUUUUGCAGAUGAAACUGAAGGUGGAGACAAGCACCAGGCUUGCAGUGUGAAUUACUUCCCUCUUGUCACAAUUUGGUGAUUAAUCAGCCGUGACUGCAGAAUAAAAUGGAAAGUAACUACGGGUAAACAUGACACUCACAUUAAAUCAAGUUAGUUCAUCCUGAUUAACAUGGCUUCCCUCGGAAAUAAAUAAAUUAGUAGUCAUCUCUGGUUUAAAUUGCGUUCAAAAGAAAGGAGGGCUGAGGGAUGCUACAGCCACUCUGGAAAUUAUUGCUUACAUCCCUGAAACAGAAAAAAUAUCUUUUGACCCUGCAAUUCUACCCUGACCAUCCACAGCAGAGGGCAAGCUGAAGUUUGUUUACAGCUGAGGCGUGAGUCCUCCCAACCCACAUUCAGAAUGACUGUCCUGCUGGUCUGCAGAAUCCAAGGUGAUACGAAGCUGACUGCUCUGAAUGUCUGUUCUCUCUUCCUGAUGUGAAUGGCUCCCUACAGGGCGGGGGUGCAGUGAGUGAAGCACUCAUCUCUGGUGCUAAAUUUAAGUGGUCACCAAAACACUCAGGAAUCCUGACAAAUAUUUUUGAAAGUCAAAAGUAAGGCAAAAAAAAAGAUAUGAUGAACAAGAUAUCUAAACUUUAAAUAAAGACAAAAUCAAUUUAUUGAUUUUAACUUUUGCCUUAAGUUCCAACCUAGUUCAUUACUGCACUGCUGAAGGGGAAGAGUAUAAUUUCAAGGUAUUGGCUUAAAUGGACUUUCUAUCUUAAGUUAUGGCCUCUAGGGCAAUGGUUCUACAACUUUAGUGUACACCAGAGUCACCUGGAAAGCUUGUGAAAAGACAAGAGCUCAACCCCAAAUCUAGAAUUUUGAUUUAUUGAAAAUGAGAUGGGGCCUAAGAAUUUGCAUUGCUAACAAGUUCUAGGCAAUAAGGCUGUUGCUGAUGCAGUGCUAUGGUCUGAAUGUUGGUGCCCCUCCACAUUCAUAUGUUGAAACCUAACCCCCAACAAUAGUUUUAAGACAUGGGGCCUUUAGGAGGUGCUUAAGUCAGUAGGGCAGAGACCUCGUGAAUGGGAUUGGUGCUCUUAUAAAAGAAGUUGAAGGAAGCUGCCUUGCCCCUUCUGAUGUGUGAAGACUCAGAACGAAGUACCAUCUGUGAAGCAGAGAGUGAGCCUCCACCAGACACUGAAUCUGUUGGUAUCCUGAUCUUGAACUUUCCAGCUUCCAGAACUGUGAGAAAUUAAGUUUCUAUUUUUUAUAAAUGACCCAGUCUAAGGUAUUUUGUUAUAGCAGCCCAAACAGACUAAGACAUGCAGGAGCCACAACUUAAGAACCACUGUAGAGACAGCUGUAUAAAUAGUUAGCCAGUAAAUCCCAAAG